CGUCAGGUAGCUCAGUGAUUUAGAGCAGUCGCCCGGCAAGCGAAAGACCCGGGUUCGAUUCCCGAUCUAGCGA
rnacentral:tRNA from 1 species